rnacentral:misc_RNA from 1 species
GAUGAAGAACGCAGCGAAAUGCGAUAAGUAAUGUGAAUUGCAGAAUUCAGUGAAUCAUCGAAUCUUUGAACGCACCUUGCGCCUUUUGGUAUUCCGAAAGGCAUGCCUGUUUGAGUGUCAUGAAAUCUCAAUCCUCCUAGGUUUUUGACCGGGUUGGACUUGGACAUGGGCGUCUGCCAGCAAUGGCUCGCCUUAAAUGACUUAGUGGAACAUCCCACAUCAGUGUUAGACGUAAUAAGUUUCGUCUCUCCUUGUGGUGAUGACUGCUCAUAAUCUGCCAUCGCGCACUUUUGACUUUGACCUCAAAUCAGGUAGGGCUACCCGCUGAACUUAAGCAUAUCAAUAGGCGGAGGA